rnacentral:rRNA from 1 species
UGGGGAAUAUUGCACAAUGGGCGAAAGCCUGAUGCAGCGACGCCGCGUGCGGGAUGAAGGCCUUCGGGUUGUAAACCGCUUUUGAUUGGGAGCAAGCGAGAGUGAGUGUACCUUUCGAAUAAGCACCGGCUAACUACGUGCCAGCAGCCGCGGUAAUACGUAGGGUGCAAGCGUUAUCCGGAAUUAUUGGGCGUAAAGAGCUCGUAGGCGGUUUGUCGCGUCUGGUGUGAAAGUCCAUCGCUUAACGGUGGAUCUGCGCCGGGUACGGGCAGGCUAGAGUGCGACAGGGGAGACUGGAAUUCCCGGU